GAAUCAUAUGAUGAGAAAAAAACUGCAACAAGAUGAGAUCUUUCUAGAUCGUUAUUUGUGAUUACUGCUAUUUAAGUCUCUGAUGAC